AAACAUCUUUUCUUGUUAGUUUUUGAAGUAUGGCCUGCCCGCUGACAUUUGGUGUUGAAGGGCCGCGGUAUUAUGACCGUGCAAAGGUAGCAUAAUCAUUAGUUCUUUAAUUGUGAUCUGGAAUGAAUGGCUUGACGAGGCACGGGCUGUCUUAGUGUUGAAUGUUUUAUUGAAUUUGGUCUUUGAGUUAAAAUUCUUAGAUGUUUUUGUGGGACGAGAAGACCCUAUAGAGUUUGACAUUUGGUUUAUUUACUUGUUUGUUGUUUGUUUAUUUUUGGUGAGUGGGCUUUUUGUUUUGUUGGGGUGAUGGGAGGAAUGUACUUAACUCCUCUUAGUUUUGGUUAUAUUGAUUUAUAAUUGUUUGAUCCAUUUAUUUUGAUUGUAAGACUAAAUUACCUUA
rnacentral:rRNA from 1 species